AUGUUGUUUGGACAAUACCAUGGAAGCUUCGCCAAGACCUUUUGUGAUCUGUUUAGGAAAGCUAAAGCCCUUCGCACAAUUAUUCUAUCUGGAGCAUCAUACUCUAUGGAAGACAUUCUGCCUAACUUUUCAGAAACCAUCCAUCUUCGUUACCUUAGGAUUGAGCCAUCACAUAACAUAUGCAACAUCAAUUUGCCUGAUAUGUUAUUCAGAUUUUAUCAUCUAGAGGUAAUAAAUCUAGAACAAUGGAACGGUCCCAUUUCAAUAAGGCAUAUGACCAACCUUGUAAAGCUGCGUCAUUUUCUUGUGCCAGAAAAUAAGCCUCGAGUUCAUUCAAACAUAUCAGAGGUGGGAAAACUUAAAUUGCUUUUAGAAUUAAGAAGGUUUGAAGUUGGAAAAGAAAAUGUUGGUUUCGAACUAAGUCAACUAGCACAAUUAACAGAGCUUGGAGGGUCACUUGGCAUUUACAAUCUUGAAAAGGUGCAAGAGAAAGGUGGGGUAAAUGAAAUAAGGCCAAUACACAGAAACCACUUGCAAGAACUAACAUUAGAGUGGGGUAUGAAACGAUCUAACAGGGAUCCCACAAGAGAAGGAAAUGUUCUUGAAAAUCUUGUACCGCACAGUGACCUUCGAGAUCUGUGCAUUAGAGGGCACAGAGGCACUAAUUGCCCAACAUGGCUAGGUGAGAACCUCUUUGUCAAAAAUUUGGAAUCUCUUCACUUGGCUGAUGUGUCUUGGAAAACUUUUCCACCAUUAGGAGAGUUAUGGUUGCUUGAUGAACCCCGUGUUGAGUGCAAGUGUUGCAUCUCAAGCCCAAGCUUUCAAAAAAAUUGUCUUGAAAAAAAAUGCUUCCAAAAUUUGAAAAAGCUAGUGUUUGUUAAGAUACCAAAACUGACCAAGUGGGCUGGAAAUCAAAAUUGUGGGUUCUUCUUCCACCUGGAAGUGCUCAUUAUUGAAGAUUGCCCUGAACUUAAGGAGUUGCCAUUUUCAUGUUCUACUUGCUCUCAACCAAUGCAAGAAGGGGAGAAGUUGACUUGGUUCCCUAGACUACGGGAGCUCAAGAUUGUAAGAUGCCCAAACCUGAGGACAAUGCCUCCUAUCCCUUGGACACGUACUCUAUGCUCCAUUAAGAUAGCAGAAGCAGGCUCGGAUUUUCAGGAGCUCGCUUACUCAAGUAGUCAUUUUAGAAAACCAGGAUAUCGUUUGAUCAUUCACGCAGAGGAUGGCGCAGAUAUCUUGUUUUGGAAUGAGUUGGCUUUCUGUAAUUUCAGUGAUGUAAAAGAGUUGAUUAUAAGAGAUUGCCCUCCUUUGCCCAUGGAUAUCAUCCAAAUGCUAUCAUCUCUGGAGUACAUCAGUAUAGUCGGUCAUUCGAGUAUUGUACUGUGGCCAUUCGGAGGUGAGAGCCAUGUCACGCACCAGGUUCCAGUUGAAGAAGUGUCCAUUACUAAUAGUGGUGCUAGCGGGAAAGAAGUGACUCAACUGCUCUCUCAUUUCCCGAAGCUCAGCAGCCUGCGUAUAUGUGAUAGCGAGAAUAUAACAGAAGUUGGCGUGUCGGAGAAGCGGAGUGGAGCACAGCAGCAACAGACAAAAGAAGAGGAGGAAAUAGUGGCAACGGCAGAAGGAGGACUGCUGCUCUUGCCUACCCAACUAGAGAAGUUGAUCCUCCGAGGUUGCCGCCAGCUGAGAAUAGUCCCCAAUUCAGGAGGUCUCCAGCGUCUACACUCCCUCCGCGAAUUGAGUGCAUAUAAUUGCCCCAAUUUGCUUUCAUCCUAUUCGGGCUCCUCGUCUGGUUUCCCUUUCCCGACCUCCCUGGAACAACUCACACUAUCCAAGCUGGAAGAACUCACAAACCUAAGUUUCAGCAGUUCCUCAAGACUGCAUACCCUAUCAAUAGAUGACUCCUCCGGAGUUUUGUCAGAGUCCAUCUGCAGCCUGCUCUCCACCUCCCUCACCAGAUUGUGCUUUUUCGGUAGCAAAGAAGUGGAGCCCAUCCCAGGAGAUGCCCUCCUGCUUCUCACCUCCCUCCAAGAGCUCGCAUAUUGUUUCUGCAACAAAUUGCAGUUCCUCCCUACAGGUCUACAUACACUUGCCAGCAUCAAGUACUUAUGUAUCAGUGAAUGCCCAUCGCUCCAGCUGCUGCCUGCUGCCCAAGGACGGCCUCCCGAGUUCUCUGCAGAAAUUAGAGAUCUCCGGAUGUUCCAUGAAAGCAUUGCCCAAGGACGGCCUCCCGAGUUCUCUGCGGCAAUUAGAGAUCUACGAUUGUUCUGA
rnacentral:rRNA from 1 species